GUGAAAUUGUUGAAAGGGAAACGAUUGAAGCCAGUCGUACCGACGGAGGAUCAACCUUUGAAAGCGGGUCGAGGUAUUCGAGGAGUUUAAAAGCCCUCUUGCGCUCACGUACUUCGUUUUCUUUGGUGCACUUCUUCGUAUGGUAGGUUAACAUCAAUUUUGGACGUUACAAAAAGAUCGGGGGAAUGUAGCUUCGAUUUUUUCAAAGUGUUAUAGCCCUUGGUAGAUGUGACGACCGGGAUUGAGGAUUGCAACGAAUGCUUUCGGGCUAUCCGUCUGACCUCUGGUGGUUGCUUUAGGGUCGAAAGCGUGCUUACGACUUUUAAGUUGGCUAUCAAAAGGCUAGAACGUGAUUAAAUUCGUUAAGGAUGUUGACGUAAUGGCUUUAAACGAC
rnacentral:rRNA from 1 species